GAUGAACGCUGGCGGCGUGCCUAAUACAUGCAAGUCGAACGCGCAGCGAAAGGUGCUUGCACCUUUCAAGCGAGUGGCGAACGGGUGAGUAACACGUGGAUAACCUGCCUCAAGGCUGGGGAUAACAUUUGGAAACAGAUGCUAAUACCGAAUAAAACUUAGUAUCGCAUGAUACAAAGUUAAAAGGCGCUACGGCGUCACCUAGAGAUGGAUCCGCGGUGCAUUAGUUAGUUGGUGGGGUAAAGGCUUACCAAGACGAUGAUGCAUAGCCGAGUUGAGAGACUGGUCGGGCACAUUGGGACUGAGACACGGCCCAAACUCCUACGGGAGGCUGCAGUAGGGAAUCUUCCACAAUGGGCGCAAGCCUGAUGGAGCAACGCCGCGUGUGUGAUGAAGGCUUUCGGGUCGUAAAGCACUGUUGUAUGGGAAGAAAUGCUAAAAUAGGGAAUGAUUUUAGUUUGACGGUACCAUACCAGAAAGGGACGGCUAAAUACGUGCCAGCCGCCGCCGUAA
rnacentral:rRNA from 1 species